rnacentral:rRNA from 1 species
UCUGGUCUCAAAUCAGGUAGGAUCACCCGCUGAACUUAAGCAUAUCAAUAAGCGGAGGAGAAGAAACUAACAAGGAUUCCCCUAGUAACGGCGAGCGAAGCGGGAAGAGCUCAAAUUUGAAAGCUGCGCACCUUCGGUGUCCGCGUUGUAAUCUCGAGACGUGUUUUCCGUGUGGCGCUAUGGACAAGUCCCUUGGAACAGGGCAUCGUAGAGGGUGAAAAUCCCGUACUUGCCAUGGCUGUACCAUGCUUUGUGAUACACGCUCUAAGAGUCGAGUUGUUUGGGAUUGCAGCUCAAAAUGGGUGGUAGACUCCAUCUAAAGCUAAAUAUCGGGGAGAGACCGAUAGCGAACAAGUACCGUGAGGGAAAGAUGAAAAGCACUUUGGAAAGAGAGUUAAAAGUACGUGAAAUUGUCGAAAGGGAAGCGCUUGAAGUCAGCCAUGCUGCUUGAGACUCAGCCUUGCUUUUGCUUGGUGUAUUUCUCGGUAGCAAGCCAGCAUUGGUUCGAGUCGUCGGAGAAGGGUAUGAGAAAUGUGGCAUCCUCGGAUGUGUUAUAGACUUGUACUGGAUACGACGAUUUGGAUCAAGGAACGCAGUGUGCCUCUGGCGGGUCUUCGGACACCUUCACACUUAGGAUGCUGGCGUAAUGGCUUUAAGCGGCCCGUCUUGAAACACGGACCAAGGAGUCUAACAUAUGUGCGAGUUUUUGGGUGGCAAACCCAU